rnacentral:rRNA from 1 species
UACGUAGGGUGCAAGCGUUGUCCGGAAUCAUUGGGCGUAAAGAGCUCGUAGGCGGUUUGUCGCGUCUGCUGUGAAAACGCGAGGCUCAACCUCGCGCCUGCAGUGGGUACGGGCAGACUAGAGUGCGGUAGGGGAGAUUGGAAUUCCUGGUGUAGCGGUGGAAUGCGCAGAUAUCAGGAGGAACACCGAUGGCGAAGGCAGAUCUCUGGGCCGUAUCUGACGCUGAGGAGCGAAAGCAUGGGGAGCGAACAGG